rnacentral:misc_RNA from 1 species
AACACACCUUGCACCCCUUGGUAUUCCGAGGGGCAUGCCUGUUUGAGUGUCAUUAAAUCCUCAACCGCGCCGAUUGAUUUCGGUGGGGCUUGGACUUUGGAGCGUGCUGGCGAAGGUUGGCUCCUCUUUAAAUGCAUCAGCGGAAGAAACCUUUGUCUUUCCCGCCUUCGGUGUGAUAAUUGUGUUGCGCCGUGGUGGAACUUCAACGAUCCGCUUACAAUGGUCUUCGGACGAAACCUCAUGUCAUCUUGACCUCAAAUCAGGUAGGACUACCCGCUGAACUUAA